UUCUUUAGCAUUGAAGUGCAACAAUGAUCCCGUAGUGACCAAAGUCCUGGACGAUAUUGGACUUGGUUUUGAUUGUGCCAGUCAGUCUGAGAUUGAACAAAUUCUUCAACUUGGGGUCCAUCCCUCCAGGAUUGUGUUCGCCAACCCAAACAAACACAUGUCACAUCUACGGUUCGCUGCCCAGAACAACGUCGACCUGAUGACAUUUGAUGACGUCUGCGAGGUCCUGAAAAUCAAACAAUCUUUUCCAAACGCCAGACUUUUGCUGCGUAU
rnacentral:sRNA from 1 species